rnacentral:rRNA from 1 species
GUUAAAGGCUACCAAGGCGACGAUCAGUAGCGGGUCUGAGAGGAUGAUCCGCCACACUGGGACUGAGACACGGCCCAGACUCCUACGGGAGGCAGCAGUGGGGAAUUUUGGACAAUGGGCGCAAGCCUGAUCCAGCCAUUCCGCGUGAGUGAAGAAGGCCUUCGGGUUGUAAGCUCUUUCGGCAGGAACGAAACGGCGGGCCCUAACAUUGCCUGUUACUGACGGUACCUGCAGAAGAAGCACCGGCUAACUACGUGCCAGCAGCCGCGGUAAUACGUAGGGUGCGAGCGUUAAUCGGAAUUACUGGGCGUAAAGCGUGCGCAGGCGGAUUGUUAAGCAAGACGUGAAAUCCCCGGGCUUAACCUGGGAAUGGCGUUUUGAACUGGCAGUCUAGAGUGCGUCAGAGGGGGGUGGAAUUCCACGUGUAGCAGUGAAAUGCGUAGAGAUGUGGAGGAACACCGAUGGCGAAGGCAGCCCCCUGGGAUGACACUGACGCUCAUGUACGAAAGCGUGGGUAGCAAACAGGAUUAGAUACCCUGGUAGUCCACGCCCUAAACGAUGUCAACUGGUUGUUGGGGGAGUGAAAUCCCUUAGUAACGAAGCUAACGCGUGAAGUGAC